CAGCAGCCACGGGAAUACGAAGGGUGCAAGCGUUACUCGGAAUUACUGGGCGUAAAGCGUGCGUAGGUGGUUGUUUAAGUCUGCUGUGAAAGCCCUGGGCUCAACCUGGGAAUUGCAGUGGAUACUGGGCAACUAGAGUAAGGUAGAGGAUAGUGGAAUUUCCGGUGUAGCAGUGAAAUGCGUAGAGAUCGGAAGGAACAUCUGUGGCGAAGGCGACUAUCUGGGCCAUUACUGACACUGAGGCACGAAAGCGUGGGGAGCAAACAGGAUUAGAGACCCCGGUAGUCCCUGUCUCUUAUAA
rnacentral:rRNA from 1 species